GGAAUAUAAGAACCCGUCUCUUAAUUUUUAACUAAAAAAGCUAAGAACCAGUUUUUAAAUCUAUUAUUUAAUAACCGGUUCUUAGUUUUUUUUAGUUAAAAGUUAAGAGACGAGUUCUUAUUUUCC
rfam:Brassica napus, WGS project CCCW01000000 data, contig: 24697